GACAGAGGUCUCGAGCGUUAGGCGGAAUCACUGGGCUUAAAGCGUGUGUAGGCGGAUCGUUAAGUGUCUUGUGAAAUCCCACGGCUCAACCGUGGAACUGCUCGGUAUACUGGCGGUCUUGAGCCACCUAGGGGCAACUGGAACAAGCGGUGGAGCGGUGAAAUGCGUAGAUAUCGCUUGGAACGCCAACGGUGAAAACAGGUUGCUGGGGGUGUGCUGACGCUGAGACACGAAAGCCAGGGGAGCGAACGGG
rnacentral:rRNA from 1 species